UCUCUUACAGUCUUAAAGAGACCUCAAGGA
rnacentral:piRNA from 1 species